rnacentral:rRNA from 1 species
UACGAAGGGGGCUAGCGUUGCUCGGAAUCACUGGGCGUAAAGGGUGCGUAGGCGGGUUUUUAAGUCAGGGGUGAAAUCCUGGAGCUCAACUCCAGAACUGCCUUUGAUACUGAAGAUCUCGAGUCCGGGAGAGGUGAGUGGAACUGCGAGUGUAGAGGUGAAAUUCGUAGAUAUUCGCAAGAACACCAGUGGCGAAGGCGGCUCACUGGCCCGGUACUGACGCUGAUGUGCGAAAGCGUGGGGAGCAAACAGG